rnacentral:rRNA from 1 species
GACGUAGGGCGCGAGCGUUGUCCGGAUUUAUUGGGCGUAAAGAGCUCGUAGGUGGUUUGUCGCGUCUGUCGUGAAAGCCCGGGGCUUAACUCCGGGUCUGCGGUGGAUACGGGCAGACUAGAGGCAGGUAGGGGAGAACGGAAUUCCCGGUGUAGCGGUGAAAUGCGCAGAUAUCAGGAAGAACACCCGUGGCGAAGGCGGCUCUCUGGGACGGUACUGACGCUGAGACGCGAAAGCGUGGGGAGCGAACAGG